rnacentral:rRNA from 1 species
GAUGAACGCUGGCGGCGUGCCUAAUACAUGCAAGUCGAGCGAACAGACCAGGAGCUUGCUCCUCUGACUUUAGCGGCGGACGGGUGAGUAACUUAUGGUUAACCUACCUAUAAGACAGGGAUAAUUUCGGCAAAUCGGCGCUACUACCGGAUAAUAUAUUGCACCGCAUGGUUCAAUCGUGAAAUACGGUUUUUCUUUCACUUAUAGAUUGAUCCGCGCCGCAUUAGCUAGUUGGUAAGGUAACGGCUUACCAAGGCGACGAUGCGUAGCGGACCUGAGAGGGAGGACGGCCAGCCGGGAAGUGAGGAAGGGUCGAGACUCCUAGAGGAGGAAGCAGUAGAGAAUCUUACGGGAUGGAGGAGAGGGUGACGGAGCAAAACGGGGGAAAUGAUGAAGGAGCACGGAUGGGAAAACGAUGAUAUUAGGAGAGAAGAAAUGUGUAAGUAACUGUGAAGAUAUUGACGGUACCUGGUGAGAAAGCCACGGCUAACUACGUG